rnacentral:lncRNA from 1 species
AUACAUCCCUCUAACUGCAGGGUGUUCACCAGGCAGAGAAAACAAAGCAAGAGCCAGUUCUCCAGGGUGAGUGAGGGUCAGGGAACGGAAUUAUCAGCUGUCAAGACAAAGCCACAAAGGGUCUGGGAGAGAGACAACCUCCCCCACACACCCAAGGCAUGCGACAAUGCCACAUUUGGAUACACUGGAACUUUCCCACAGAAGGAACCAGAGCGGGGUCGCUCCUACAUGCACCAGCUUGGGAACCCCACUCCGGCCCCCUGCCGCAGCCCGAUCGCACCGCCGUCCCCGCUUCCCACCCCGAGGCCCGGUGCUUACUCGAACAUGGAUGCGGCGCCCCGGCUGCAGGGCAGGACCCGGCCGGCUGCGCUGAGAUGGGCCUCCCGGGCCUCGCCUGCCUCGGCCGCCACCUCCACCGGACCCUGCCACCCGCACAAAAGGCCGGAGCCGCCGGAGGCCGCCUCGGCGUCAGCGACACCCCCUUCCUGCUCCCGCCCCGCGCGUCACGGCGCCGCCCCCGCCGGGAGGGGGACCUGGACGCGAGCGCGGGCCUAGGCCUAGAUGGCUGGGGAAAGAGUCCCGUUGGGGGACAGAAGAAAAUUUUUAUUUAAAAUGAGCAGCUUGGGCGGGGCGUGAUAGCGCACGCCUCACAUCCCAGAGGCUGAGGCAGGAGGAUUGCCGUGAGUUCGAGGCGAGCUUGGGCUACAUAGUGAAGUCCAGGCCUGACUGGAAUGCAGAGUGAGAAUUUGUCUUCACAACAAAUGAGCAAACAAGUCUAAACACCCUGGGCUUCUCCCCUAGGACCCAGAAGAGUCUCUGAGAAGUGGGAUGGAGGUGGGUGACAGCUGAUGCUGGGAAGAACUGGCCUGGGGCGGAAGUCUGGGGGUGGGGGGAACCGCAGCUGGAGGGUGGAAAGCCUCUUCCCGCUCUCCCCACCCAGCCUCUGAGCCUCAGUUCCUGCCUUAGAAGCGUUCACUUUUCCGCGCGCGUGUGUGGAGACUUCCCCAGCCUAACCGUGCAGACCACGUCAGACUCCAGCCCACCCGGCUCCUAGCAGUGCUGGGUGAGCUUGGGCAAGUCCCUCAGGCCUGGGGAGCCCCCUGCUCCCAGGCAAGGGGUUUCCCCCAGAACAGCACAGGGGCAGGGCUCAUCAGCGCUUUUGAUACUGGGAAGCCUGCCGAGCGAGCCUCAGGACGGGAAAUGACCAUACAUUGCAGUGUAGGACGAGUUCUUGUGCCAGCCAGCCCUGCACCCACCCACCUCUGCAAGCCAGGCGUGGUUGUCGUCCUUGCUGGAGAACACAAGGUGAAUGAGCCUCUGGCUUUGGGACCCAGCCCAGGGAUUUCUCCCCACCCCUCUCCGGCCUUCAGCCUCUUGUCCAGCUACAGUAGACCCAGUUCCACCUUGUUUGGUUUCCAUUCCUACCCGACUCUGUUACCACUUACAGCCCUGUGAGUCGCCAAGUCCAGCCAGAGGCCUCUUGGCUUCAAACCCUACCCUGGCUCCACCUCAUUCCUUGUUUAAAAAAAAAAAAAAAGGUGCUCACCUUGGUGUCCAGAGCUCUCCUGAUUGGGCCCCUUCCACCUGUCUGUCUAAAUGGCUCCUCCUUAGCCUCCGGGUUGAUUAUCCCAGGUUCAACCUACCCCCUGCUCAUCCCACCGGCCUCCAGCCUCAGGACCUUUGCACUGCUAUCCCUUCCGCAGGACGAGGCUCGCUCUUCUUGCAUGGCUGCCUUCCAUCUUUCUGUGUCCCUUGCUCUUUUUAUACUUCCAUAGCUUGUUUACUUUUAGAAAGACAUUUACUUUGGUGGUGAGGGCUGGUGGGUGGGCUGGAGGGAGGUUCGGGAUUUCAUUAUGUAGCCUGGGCUGGCCUCAAACCUCAGUAUAUAGCUGAGACAGGGCUCGAAUUUAUGAACUUCCUGCCUCAGCCUCCUAAAUGCUGGGAUUACAGGCAGGAACCACCAACCCCAGAAAUUUUUACAUUUUGACUUAGUGAAUAUUCAUUUCAAAUAAAAGUGUAUAAUGGCCAUCUGUGUCCCCACCAUCAUAAGAGGCUCAGUAUGCAUAAAAAGUCUCAUUAAUUUCUUUAAAGGUUUUGAAUUGUUUCUCAGGACAAUGGAAGUCAUUAAAGUACUUAAAUG